GGGCACUUGGUCUAGGGGUAUGAUUUUCGCUUCGCAACAAUUUCAUGUUGGGUAUGUGAAAGGUCGUGGGUUCAAUUCCCACAGUGUCCA